CACGUAGGCGGAUCUUUAAGUCAGGGGUGAAAUCCCGGAGCUCAACUCCGGAACUGCCUUUGAUACUGGGGAUCUUGAGUUCGAGAGAGGUGAGUGGAACUGCGAGUGUAGAGGUGAAAUUCGUAGAUAUUCGCAAGAACACCAGUGGCGAAGGCGGCUCACUGGCUCGAUACUGACGCUGAGGUGCGAAAGCUGGGGAGCAAACA
rnacentral:rRNA from 1 species